AUGUUCCUUUUUAUUUUUGUUUCGAAUUGGUCGGGUGCUCUUUUACCUUGGAAAAUUAUAGAGUUACCCCAUGGGGAAUUAGCAGCGCCCACGAAUGAUAUAAAUACUACUGUUGCUUUAGCUUUACUCACGUCAGCGGCAUAUUUUUAUGCUGGUCUUAGCAAAAAAGGAUUGAGCUAUUUCGAGAAAUAUAUUAAACCAACUCCAAUCCUUUUACCAAUUAACAUCCUAGAAGAUUUCACAAAACCAUUGUCACUUAGCUUUCGACUUUUCGGGAAUAUAUUGGCGGAUGAAUUAGUCGUUGUUGUUCUUGUUUCUUUAGUCCCCUUAGUAAUCCCUAUACGGGUCAUGUUUCUUGGAUUAUUUACAAGCGGUAUUCAAGCUCUUAUUUUUGCAACAUUAGCCGCAGCCUAUAUAGGUGAAUCCAUGGAGGGUCAUCAUUGA
rnacentral:rRNA from 1 species